GUUUUCACAUUUGCAGUUUAUUCACGAUCAGAAGGUGAUAGUAUCUGAACACAUCCCUCUUCCUGCACUAGCUGGGAAAAACAUUAAGAGGGCCCACGAUACACACACGCGCAAGAGAUAACCUAAGGUUGCCAAGGAGUUUAGCGAUGACUGCACGGUUCUCCAGCAGCGAGCGGCCGAAGCUCCCGCUGGAACAAGCCUGCACUCGGCUGCCGCGCGUGUGCUCCAGGCUUCCUCCUCCUGGCUCUCCAACCCGCAGGACAAAGGCUGCAGCAUCGGCCACGCGACUAGGGAUCCCAGGAGAAGCGAGGGCAGGGGACACCUCGCUUAACCCAGGUGGUCAGCACCGGGGAAUCGAGAGCUCCGGCCCUGCCAUGUUCUGCAGACAGACGACUUCCUGCACCAAGGCCAGAAGGUGAUUGAUGUCCAUCAGCGCUGCUGAGUCCCAGCCGGAGGCAGGUGAUGGCACCUUCAGAGCUUUCAACAGCGAGCUGACGAGUCUCCACAUAUCCUGCCAGUCAGCCCAGCUGGGUCCUUGGGAACACCCCAGAACAUGAUGCUGGUCAGCAUGGUGCAGAGGAGCAGGGAGAAGCAGCAGGACACCCUCUGGACACGGGUGAAGUUGCUCCGAGCUGCGCAGCUGAAGAUGGAAUACCAGAUGUGUCCAUCCUGGAAGCCCGUGGACGUCUUCAUGAAAAACAGGAGCUGGUCCUAGGUACCCUGCACCCUGAACUCUAUCUCAGGAUCUGCUUCCCAGGAACCAACAUAUAGCACUUAAGGUAGUAAUGUUUAAUCCCUUAGGUAAGUUGAAGAUAUCAAUAGAAGUGCUCUGUUUUUCUAAAGUUGCAAGCCACUGAUGGGUGGUCAGGCUGGAAACGACUCAUUUAGGUCACUAGUUUUGGCCUCACAAGCCAAAUAAUCCUCAGGUGGAUUCUCAUCUCCGGGUUUGCUGGCUCUGUGACCUUGGGGAAGUCACUUAUCUUGCCUAAGUUUAAAUUUUCCCACCUGUAAAACAAGAAUGAGAAUACUUGCCCUUGAGGAGCCAAUGAGAAAAGGGCACAGAAACGGGAAGGCUUAGCUUAAUGCUCAGAGUGGCAGUUGUUCUCACCUCUUCUCCUAAAUAACCAGCCCAAUGUCUCAUUUAGUCUCUUCUUGGGCAAGUUUACCUUCAAAAUGGGCAUCUAUCCCCAUUUUACAGAUGGGGAACUGGGGCCUAAAUGAAGGUCAGUGCUGCAAAUGUGCCAAGAGUGGAGCUAGUACUGGACCCCAGGCUUGCAACCUCUAGUCCUUGUCCUAGCUACUGAUCCAGGCGGUGAGGCUCAUGGGUGGUUGGGUCUCUCUAACCCCUUGUGUCUCUUUCUGUGAAAUGGGGAUCCAUUCUGUGUGUUUGAGGAGGGUUGUGAGGAUUAGCCUGGCAGCAAAUGCACAAUGCCCAGCCUUGGUGUGGCACAUAGUGGGUUCUCAUGGUGUGCCCUUACCAGGAUGGCUGGUCCCCUGAGUUGUCGUGCCACAGCCGCAGGCUCCUCAGUUCCCCCAGGGGGAACAUGGUGGAGAGUAAGAAGACAUCCACUCCUCCUCGCUCAAAAACUGGGAUGUCAGGGUCUGACAGGUGGUGGGGUUCACUCUCUCCAUCCAGGCCAUAUAGGGUGACAGUCACCUGAAAUUCAGAGACGAGGAAUGGCCAAUUCCACAUGAUAACCAAGCCCCGGUGGCCGUGUUUCAUUGGAAGGAUCCAAACCCCAGUGAAAACCAACCUUGCAAGGCCCCUUCAUUCUCUCCUCCCUUCCCAUCUUGGACCUGCCUGAGCUAUUUUUCAGGUAUAUGAAGAUUUAGGAUAACACUGCCUGCAUUUUUGUCUUCAGCAUGAAUUAUAAAACACUUCUCGGCAACCUUUUUAAACUUUCAUGUUUGUUUAUAAGGGCUCUAGUGUAAGAACUGGUUCCCCCUGCCCCAACAAUUCUAUUCCCAGGGUCUCCCAACAUGCCUGGGUGCCUGGCACUGAGACAUGAAUGCAUGAGAGCCCAUUAUUUCAUAAAUACAUAUUUCUAGGCCCCACUCCAGACCUACCAACUAAAAGUGCUGGGAACAGGGCCCAGGAAUCUGCUUUUCUGCAGUUAUCCAGGUGAUGCUGAUGAACAUGCCUGAUUUCCUGAGCCAAAGAGUUGCAGUUCUGUCACCUGUGCUUGGCCCACAUCCCUCAGCCUCACUGCUGCAGUGAUCCCUGCACCCAUGUCCAGCUGCCAGCAGCUGCAUUGCUUUCCUGGAGGUUCUUGGGCUCAGAGUGGAGACUGGAAGUGCCAGAGAAUUAAUGGUGCUGUGAGCUGUCCUUCAUCAACAACUCAUGGGAUUGGGGCUGAUCCUAAGCACUUUGUGCAACACUGAAUGCUCAACUCCAUGGCAGAGUCUGCGUUUUGGGAACCAGCCUACAGGUCAUGCAGCCUCACCUUGGCCUGAUCCUGAGCAUCCUUCCUCCUUGCCCAGAUCACCACCAGCACGUAGGCCACACAGAGGCAGCUCACGGUGGUCACAACCACAGGGUUGUCCUCGAAGGUGGCAAAGAGCUCGGCAGUCUGGCAGACGUCAAUGGCGUUGGGCAUCACCAGGAACGUGCUUCCAAAGAAGAGUUCUGGCGUGUCCUUCCAGAGCCAGUCCCUGCCUGCGUCGGAAUAUAGAAAAAGCAGCUGGCUGGUGAGAUGCCCAUCCACAGUUGGCACGCCACCUCCCACCCCACAGCAAUCUGUGCCAAGGGUACCCACAGUAUAGGGUGUGGAAUAGAAACAGACCCUGUGGGACCCACCUGGCUCACCUCCAGGGAUGAAUCACAGGGCUGGAUGCUGUGAACCAGGUUUGUGACCAGGACACACUGAAACUGGCUGGCAGGAUGCUGGACACCUGAGUCUGGAAGGGAAGAGGAAGGAAGUUUGGAAAGGGGGUCUGCCAACCCCAAGUACCUUCAAGAGGAACUGCCACAUGCAGACUGCCUGGAACUCUGCUCCUCAGGAACACGCAGCCUGUCCCCAUUAAGAUGGGGCUCCCUUACAGGCUGGCACUGGCUGUCCAGCGGAAUAUUGUGGUUGACUCUGAAAAUCGGAUUUAAACCACCGAAUUAUGAUUCUCUCCAAUAGAAACCAAGGUAGCAUGAGUCAUGAAACUGCACAAUGGAUGAAGAAAACAAAAACCUCUAGAGAAAAACCCUCUGUUUAGCCAGAGAACCAGGAAAAGGGACCCAAUGAGCUUGAAAGCACAGGGAAAAUAUCUGUUUUGUGUUCUCUUGUUUCUCUCUUGGCCCUGACCUAGGCUAUCCUCCCUCAGAGCUGCAUUGACUACUUAAGGGGAUACAGACACAAAAUCCCUAAGAGAAAACCCAUCUUUCUAGCCAGAGGAGCAAUGGAGAAAGACCUGUAGGAGCUGGAAACUGUGGGGGAAACCCUGAAAAGGAGAGAUCUGGAGAGGAGGAUCCCCCCACUUCUGUGAACAACCCAGCACAAACCAUGACCUCACCCAGAAAUUAUGCAGGUGCAAAACAGCCCCAAAGACACACAGCCAAGGCUUUGUUGAAGUCAGACUACAACAUAAACACCACCCAGAGUGCCACAUGUGUGGGGCAGACCCAAACAGCUUUGGAAACUGAAUGGAUAUGGGAAACACGGCUCACAGAAGGCAAGUCGUGAAGUGUGGUCUGAGUCUAACAGGGGUGCUGCCAGCUAAAACAAAACAAACAACAAGCCAUUUUCCAGAGGAUUUAAACAGGAUCCAGAGUCUCAGAACCUACUGUCAAAAUGUCCAGAAUAAUCCAAAAUUGCCUGAUAUACAAAGAAUGAGUAAAAUUUGAUCCAGUCUCAAGGGAAAACAUAAUAGAUGUCAGCCUGUAGAUGACUCAGGGGUGGAAAUUAUCAGACAGACUUGAAAUCCACCAUCAUAACCAAGCUCCAUGACAUAAAAGUAAAUCCUCUUUAAAUGAAUGGAAAGCUAGACAUUCUGAGCAGAGAAACAAACUAUUUUUUAAAAAAUUAAAAUUUAGAAAACCACAAUACCUGAAAUAAAAAAAUUUUACUAGAUGCCUGCAAUAGUUGAAUAGUGACAACAGAGGAAAGUUGGUGAACUUGAACAUAGAGCAAGAGAAAGUAUCCAAGUUGAAGAACAGGUGUUAAAUACAUUUAAAUAUUAAUAAAAUAUUGAAUUGUUUAAAAUGAGCAGAGCAUCACCAAUCCAUGUGACAGUAUGAAAAGAUAAAAUAUUUGUGUCAUUGGAGUACCAACGAGAAGAGAAAGAUUGGUGUAGAAAAAUAUACUGAGGAAAUAAUGGUGAAAACCUCCUCAAUUUGGGAAAACCCUACAUUUAAAGAUUCAAGACCCCCCCAAAGGAAAAAAAGUGAAAUAAUGGUAAAAACCUCCUCAAUUUGGGAAAACCCUACAUUUAAAGAUUCAGACCCCACCAAAGGAAAAAAAGUUAAAGAAAACCAUCCCCACACAUAUAGUUAUCAAACUGCCAAAAAUCAAAGAUUAAUGAGAUAAAUCAAAAAACCAAACUGCUGGAAAAAAUGGCACAUUACAUGUAGACAUGUGAAUGAAAGUAGAUUUCCCCUCAGAAACCCAUGGUGGUCAGAAGACUGUGGCAACAUCUUUAAGUGUUGAAACAAAAGAACUUUCAACACUUAAUUCUAUAUCCAGCAGAAAAGUCCUCCAGGGAGUGAAGCAAAAUAAAGGCAUUCUCAGGAAUAAAGAAAUCCUCUAAGAGGAUUUGUUGUCAGAAAAUCUACUAUAAAAGAAAUGGUUAAGGGAGUUUUUGCAGCUAAUGGAAAUAUCAGAGGGGAACUUGGAAUUUCAGGAAUGAAGGGAGAGUACAAGUAAUGGUUAAUUACCUUGGUAAAUGAAUAGGCUACUUUUCUCCCUUAAGUUCUUUAAAUGUGUAUGACUGUUGAAAGGGUUUUCGAUGUAUGUAAGUGUCCUACAUAGGACAAUUAUAAAGGAGGGUGAGCAAUGGGACCCAUAUGCCAGUAAGGCUUCAACAUUUUACUGAAGUCAAUACUAACUCCAUUUGGACAAUGAAAGAUUAGAUGUAUAUAUAUAUAGUAAUCCCUGAAGCAAUUACUAGAAAGGUAAUAAAGAGAACCAAAUAAUAGAUAUGUUAAAAUGGAAUACUAAAAAUAUGCAAAUACUCCAAAAGAAGAUAAGAAAGGAGAGGAACAGAGGGAAAAAUAAACAAGGGUGAAGAGAAAACAAGUAACAAAAUAUAGUAGACCUAAACCUAACUAUAUCAAUAAUUACAUAUAAAUAGUCUAAACACAGCAAUUAUUGUGCCAAAUGGGAUUUUAAAAAACCAAGACACAACCAAAGACUGUCUACAAGAAGCCCACUUUAAAUACAAUGAUAAAGAUACGUUAAAAGUACAAGUAUAGAAGCUACACCAGCAAACACUAAUGAAAAAAUGAUGGAGAAUGCUUUAUUAAUAUCAGACAAUGUAGAUUUCAGAACAAGAAAACACUGACUCUUUAGAGAAAUGUGAAGGAUGGUUUUGAAUAGCAAAAUCUGGCCUGUUUUUCAGGGAUCUGCCUGGAAGAAGCAACUCGUUCCAUUUUCUGAACUCUGCUGCCAACUGAAAUUGCCCAGGACUAAAAGGCAGAGAAACGGAUUUUUCCUAAUUUGUCUCCCAGUGAGCUCACCCAAGGGAAAAGACAACAAAGUGGUUUUAGAAACUGCUGCCAACAAAGAGAAGAUAUGCUCAGAGUACAAAGCAACAGAGGCAACAACUAAACAUUUCUGUUACGACGCUAUGAGCCAGCAAUUCCACUCCUGUGUACAAACCCAACAGAAACAUGUACAUGUAUGCACCAGAAGACACGUGCUCAAAUGUUCACAACUGCGCAAUUUGUAAUUGCCAAAUGGGAAAUCACCCAAAAGGACUGCCAUCACUAGAAUGGAUAAGUAAACUGAAGACUGUCCAUACAAUGGAAUGCUAUAUAAGAAUGAGAAAAAAAAAAAUGGUUACGCACAACAGUAUGGACAAAUCUCAAAAAGGUAUUGUUGAACAGAUGUCAGACACAAAAAAGAAUACACUUUAUGAUUCCAUUUAUAGAAGCUUCAAACGGGUCGCACUGAUUGAUAGUGGUAGGAAUCAGUACUACUAGGGGCCUGAGGAGGAUUCCUGGGAGGCAGGUCUUGUUUUGUUCCUUGAUCUGAGUGCUAGUGACAUGGGUGUGUUCACUGUGUAAAAAUUAACUGAGCUGUGUCUUUGUGUGCAUUUUUUUUGCAUGUA